UUAUAUAUAUGUAUAUCUACCCAUAUAUUAAAGAAUAUUUUUACAAAUAAAAAAAAUUUGAAAACCGCACUUUAAAAACUUCAACCCUCUUCUAUUUUGAUGUGGGUAGACCGCACCGCAAUCAAUAAAGAAAAACAAACAAAAUCUAUAUAUUUUUAUUAUGUAUAUAUAUUAUAUAUUGUGUUAGUGCGUUUUUAUGCAAAUAUGUGAUAUUUGUGUGAUUGGUGUAUUUGUUUGAUCCGUCCGACAAUAGUCAAAUUCCAUCCCGCUUAACUGUUGCCUUUCACUACCUUAAUUUAGAGUGUUUUCAAAAUAGAAAAAAUUAUACAAAUAUGGUCUUGGUUAGGAUCUGCGUAACAUCUUUCAUAUAACUCAUCUUAUUUUAAACUAAAAAUAUAUUUUUAUAAUUAUAUUUAUGCAAACAUUAAAGUCAUUCUAUCACAUGAUCCGCAAGUAAUAUUUAUAACAUAGCACAAAUUAUCUUCUAGUAAACUUCAAUAAUUAUAAUUUUGUAAUUGUGGGCAAAUUAGACUUACUAAAUUACCAACCCGCAUAACUUAAAUUUUAUCAAUUCGUCGAUAUAGAACGUUAAACACACAUUUCAUAAAUUAAAUAAUAUAUCUCUAUUUUUUUAAAAAUAAGACCAUAUGCAAUAUAUAUAUAUAUAUAUAUAUUUAUUAUUCAUAUAUAUUAUAUUUUAAUUCAAAAGAAUUUGAAAAUGAAAUCAUAGACAUAUGGUAGUAAAAUCAUCAUAUUAAAUCUAAACAAAAUCACCUAAAUAAAAUAGUAUGGUAUAGUUAGAUAUCAAAUCUUAAUUUCAAAGGUUUGAUUGCUUAACAAUUUUUUAGUCCACCAGUUAAUUGGAGAGAGAAAGUGAUUUUUUUCUAAAUCGUCUUAUGAUUAAUGGUAUUUGAUGUAGGCAGUGAUUGGUGAAGAAAAAAAAGCUGUACAAAGUGGUAUAGCUUUAACUUUUACCAAUCAAAGUAUAAAGGUGUACGAAAAAGUAGUCAACACAAAAAGCUGAAUAAAGACUUCUUUAUUUUUUAUAUUAUUUGAAAAUAAAGAUAAUGUUAAAAAAAUCACAAUGCUAUUGGUGGAUGAGAUUUUAUUUUAUCUGAAUAAAUUUUUAAUUAAUCAAAAUUUAUAUACUAAAAGUGAAGUUCCUUCCUCUUAUAUAUGUAACUAUACAAUCGACUCACAGUUUGUAAACUUCUUCUUUGCUCUUCUUCUCAAAACCUCAACAAAAAAAAAAUCUCUCACCGAGAACUUGAGGGAAAAAAUUAGAAAACAUUCUUCCAGUUUCAAGUAACUACAAUUAAGUAUGUCUAAUGAAGGUCCUAGCUCUUGACGUCGACGAAGGAACGUAAGUUAUAUAUAUAUAUAUAUAUAUUACCGAAGUAGUAUAUAUAAUAUAAUAAUUUUAUAUUACAUAUGUUAGUCAUUUAUAUAUAUAUAUAUAUAUAUACAUAAAAAUAUUUUUCACAUUUUUUAGAAAGAAAACUAGUCACUUCUUGAAGAGCGCGUUGUGCUUAAACUAUAUGAAGUUGAGUUUGCAAAAGUAGACUAUAAUACAUAUGGUCUAAAAAAACCACAUCAAAAUUGUAUUCUGAGUGAACUUUUAAAGCGAACGGGGAAUCAUAUUGAUAGUUGGAUAGAGGUAAAAAAACAAGAUAGAUACAUUGAAGGGAACUUACAAAGAAUGGACCGAUUUUGAUGUGUAAGUUCGAAUCAGAGAACUGAAGUUAUUCGUAUGGAUGACGAUUGGUGGCAAUCGCGCGAGGCUCUAUGUAUAUCUUGUCUUAGUUUGAAUUGUAUGAUAUAUUAAAAGUGUUUAUCUAGAAGUUCUAAAUUUUA